CGCGUAGGCGGCGCGACAAGUCACUUGUGAAAUCUCCCGGCUCAACCGGGAGCGGCCAAGUGAUACUGUCGCGCUGGAGUGCAGAAGGGGCGACCGGAAUUCUCGGUGUAGCGGUGAAAUGCGUAGAUAUCGAGAGGAACACCUGUGGCGAAGGCGGGUCGCUGGGCUGACACUGACGCUGAGGCGCGAAAGCUAGGGGAGCGAACG
rnacentral:rRNA from 1 species